ensembl:miRNA MIR1246 microRNA 1246
UGUAUCCUUGAAUGGAUUUUUGGAGCAGGAGUGGACACCUGACCCAAAGGAAAUCAAUCCAUAGGCUAGCAAU